GACGAACGCUGGCGGCGUGCCUAAUACAUGCAAGUCGAACGCUGAAGGAGGAGCUUGCUUCUCUGGAUGAGUUGCGAACGGGUGAGUAACGCGUAGGUAACCUGCCUGGUAGCGGGGGAUAACUAUUGGAAACGAUAGCUAAUACCGCAUAAGAGUAGAUGUUGCAUGACAUUUGCUUAAAAGGUGCAACUGCAUCACUACCAGAUGGACCUGCGUUGUAUUAGCUAGUUGGUGGGGUAACGGCUCACCAAGGCGACGAUACAUAGCCGACCUGAGAGGGUGAUCGGCCACACUGGGACUGAGACACGGCCCAGACUCCUACGGGAGGCAGCAGUAGGGAAUCGUCGGCAAUGGACGGAAGUCUGAGCGAGAAACGCCGCGUGAGUGAAGAAGGUUUUCGGAUCGUAAAGCUCUGUUGUAAGAGAAGAACGAGUGUGAGAGUGGAAAGUUCACACUGUGACGGUAUCUUACCAGAAAGGGACGGCUAACUACGUG
rnacentral:rRNA from 1 species